rnacentral:rRNA from 1 species
UACGUAGGGGGCAAGCGUUGUCCGGAAUCAUUGGGCGUAAAGAGCGUGUAGGCGGUCCGAUAAGUCCGCUCGUGAAAGCCCGGGGCUCAACCCCGGGAGGCGGGCGGAUACUGUCGGGCUAGAGUCCGGAAGAGGCAAGUGGAAUUCCUGGUGUAGCGGUGAAAUGACGCAGAUAUCAGGAGGAACACCAAUGGCGAAGGCAGCACUCGUGGGACGGUACUGACGCUGAGACGCGAAAGCGUGGGGAGCGAACAGG